rnacentral:rRNA from 1 species
UACGUAGGUCCCGAGCGUUGUCCGGAUUUAUUGGGCGUAAAGCGAGCGCAGGUGGUUUAUUAAGUCUGGUGUAAAAGGCAGUGGCUCAACCAUUGUAUGCAUUGGAAACUGGUAGACUUGAGUGCAGGAGAGGAGAGUGGAAUUCCAUGUGUAGCGGUAAAAUGCGUAGAUAUAUGGAGGAACACCGGUGGCGAAAGCGGCUCCCUGGCCUGUAACUGACACUGAGGCUCGAAAGCGUGGGGAGCAAACAGG